AUAGAGGGAAGAAAGGGCCCGGACGUGUAGGGACUGAGUGUACCCGGAGAAAAAGAUCGGCUAACUCCGUGCCAGCAGCCGCGGUAAUACGGAGGAUCCGAGCGUUAUCCGGAUUUAUUGGGUUUAAAGGGUGCGUAGGCGGCUUUCUAAGUCAGGGGUGAAAUACAGCGGCUCAACCGUUGCGUGCCUUUGAUACUGGGGGGCUUGAAUGUGGUCGAAGGCGGCGGAAUGGGACAAGUAGCGGUGAAAUGCAUACAUAUGUCCCAGAACCCCGAUAGCGAAGGCAGCUGCCUAGGCCAUAAUUGACGCUGAUGCACGAAAGCGUGGGGAUCGAACAGGAUUAGAUACCCUGGUAGUCCACGCCCUAAACGAUGGUGGCUCGGUGUCGGCGAUAUACAGUCGGUGCCCAAGCGAAAGCGUUAAGCCACCCACCUGGGGAGUACGCCCGCAAGGGUGAAACUCAAAG
rnacentral:rRNA from 1 species